AUUAGCGUCCCCGUAAUCCCAUAAACGUUCGUAAAGGGAAGCCCUGAGAAAGUGUCGCGUCUGAGGUAAACGACGAGACAGGAGUGCGAUGUAUACGUAUAUUAUUUGCAAGCGAGUACGAGAUUGAUAUUUUGGGAGACCCCACGCGAGGCACACGGCACCAAUGAACGUGCCAGAGAACUGUGAGUAUUUUGUGCGAAAUUGGGAUCGCGUUUUCUUACCCCGUCUCCUUACAAUUCUUUUUCCCUCUACAACGUAAGAUUCCAAGAUUUUGGGGAUAACAAUAGCGGGUCCAAGAUCGCCAGUGGCCUCGGCCAGAGUCGAGGCUGAGGGAUAUUAUGCAACCGUCGCGUCGCGUCAGUGGCAUAUUUUCCAUCGUUUCAUGUUAGAACCAGGUGGCAUUUGUUUUUUUAUUUCACGUAGAAUGAAUCUGAUACCAGUCGGCGAGUAAUUUCGCACACCGCCGUUGUCUCGCGGCCAAAAGCGAAUGGCCAUUAGUUUUACGACUUCGUCGCCGCUAUUCCAGGUCGGUUAUUUGACAAAUAACGAGCAAGAAUUCGGAACCAUCAGUGAAAACACGAGACACCGUGAUUUAGCUCGUCGCUCUUCGGGAGCAUAGAAGGGGCCCCUCCAGGAUGAUCUACGAGAGAAGUCCUCUCGGAGACAUACACCGGAAUUCCUCGAUUUCGGAGGGCGAAGGGUAUCUCGGUGAUGUGCGUGCUACAUCCAUAAGAUAUCCUCGGGAUCUGGACCGAACUCUUGGUGUCACUCGGGUAAUCCUCUGGGCUGACGUCACACACCCGGGGGACGAAAGAGAGGAAAGAGACGAGACGAGAAGUUAAAACGACUUCCUAGGGGGGGCACCCACCACCCACGCGCACCCACUGGUCCACAACGGUGGCGUAGCCCGUUUAGCAGGCUGAAAGGCGUCGCGGGCCCUGGCCGAGCGGCACGUACUCGAGGAGGCGGUGAUCACGCGAUUAUCGGCUUAUCCAUGCGGCCGGAUGGCGGCCAGAGAACUGUUUUAUUUUCCGUGGGCAAACCGUUCGGACCCGGGGUAAACUAGUGGCCGUUCGGCUCGUUAUGUCGACGUAACGUUCGACUUGAGGAGCGAACUGUGGCUAAGGCUAAAGUUAGCUCGAAUGUCCCUGGACGCGAAUCUCUGUCCUUAAUGCAGCGUACGCGUCGCGAUCGAUCACUCGCUCGAGAUAAUUAACGGAGCCCGAUUUGGCAGUCGCCGCGUGCGACGUCCGAUCAUCGGCCGCGCGAUUAAUUGCGAUCGAUGCCGAGCUCUAAUGAGCCAAUCCGUUAACCAUCGUUCCUCGUCGUGUUCGGAAACGUUGGCGCGGGGGCGUCGUUUCGAUAUCUGCACGACGUCGCGACGAGAGAACGAGAGUUUGGCACCUUUGGUCGCGAUCGUUUCGCAAAAACGAACGAUUCGCCGCUUGCAAUUUGAUUCGCGUCCAAGCGCAUCUGUAAAAUCGAUCAUACAGCAACUAGCACGGUCAGUGCGAGCUCUAGUCGCCGCCAUUCUUUUCGUUUACGUCGUCCCAUCUUUCGUCGCGAAACUUUCGAGCGAGAGAAAGUUUCCAGGAUUCAAGUUCAAUUGCGGCGUGACCUUUGAUCCGUUACGUCGAUCAAUUAACCCAAUCCCAUUCAUCGUUGCGCUCUCUCUUUCUCUAUGUUCGUUCGAACUCGACGGAGCUCCGGCGUGGAAAUUCCGGCUUGUUUACGUGGCCGAGAUGCGCGGCCGAAUUUCUGGCGUUACUCGGACGACUUUAUUUUGGUUACCUCAUCGGUUACGAAUCAACGAGUCGAGCCGAUCUUCGAUACACGUUUUGCGCGCGGUACGUCUCUCUGGCGCACGUCCAAACAGAUAUCGAAACACCCAACGUCCAGCUUAUCGAACUCUCGAUGAUCUAUAUUUGCGCCGUACCGCAACACUGUCCGAUUGUUCCUUAAAAAUCGUUUGCCUUCGUUUGUAUGCUUUUCGUCCGACCGUAUCGACGUAUAGAAUAAGAUGAUAGAAAUCGAUAGGCUAGGAAAAAAAACGCGAUAAAGUUUCGAAUUGCGUAUCAUGAUAGCGUAUGACGCGUAAACACUGGCGUCACGAUGGCGUCAGUUUUCAUUGCACGAUUUAUCGAACACGAUCCGGUGGAGUAAAUUGAUUUACGAUUACGUUUCCCGCGCAGAGAACACCGCUGGUUAUGCAAAACGACUGCGUCACGUUCGUUUGAUCUGUCGUGUAAAUACGAAGAAGUGGACGGAGCGAUUCCGUGUGCUUUUCUUUCGCAAUGAUCGAAGGAGCGCUGUUUGGAUUAUGAGUAUCUUUAUUUCCGGAGCUAAAAGAGGGUCCAACGGGACGAACGAGAGCUUUGCCCUCUGCCUCUCUCCAUACUUGAUCCAUCGAAUCUAUUUCUAACGUUAGACAGGAUUUUUCCUGUAAUUUGUAUAGUUAAUCGAGUGGAACGACUUCUGAAUGGAAAGCGUCGAACAUACGAUAAGCAGGCGCAAGGUUAUCGCUCUCUGCCGGAAAGAAGAUCUCCACGUCUCAUGAGGUUCCUGCUGCUGUCGAACGAAAAGCUGGCCGUGUGAUCGAUGGUCGAAUCAUUUCGUCCACACCUGGCACUUGGUCGAGUAAAUAAAUCAUCGACGAAAAUAAAA